rnacentral:tRNA from 1 species
GCCAUCGUGAUGUAGUGGUCAGCAUGCUCGAUGCGUAAUCGAGAGGUCCGUGGUUCGAGUCCCGGCGAGGGCA